GUAGGGAAUCUUCCACAAUGGACGAAAGUCUGAUGGAGCAACGCCGCGUGAGUGAAGAAGGCCUUAGGGUCGUAAACCUCUGUUGUGUGGGAAGAAGAGCGUGACGGUACCACACGAGGAAGUCCCGGCUAACUACGUGCCAGCAGCCGCGGUAAUACGUAGGGGACGAGCGUUGUCCGGAUUUACUGGGCGUAAAGGGCGCGUAGGCGGUCAUUUAAGUCAGCUGUGAAAUGGUUUGGCUUAACCGGAUCAUGCGGUUGAAACUGGAUGACUGGAGUGCUGGAGAGGCAAGUGGAAUUCCCAGUGUAGCGGUGAAAUGCGUAGAUAUUGGGAAGAACACCGGUGGCGAAGGCGACUUGCUGGCCAGCAACUGACGCUGAGGCGCGAAAGCCAGGGGAGCAAACGGGAUUAGAAACCCUAGUAGUCC
rnacentral:rRNA from 1 species